UUGUUGGGCGAGAUGACCUUGGAGGUCUUUUCCAAUGUUAGUGGUUCUUUGCAGUGGAACCUGAGGGCUCUGGGCUAAUGGAGAGCCAAACACGCAUAGAGGGGCUGUGAUGAGGCUGAUCCUCGUGCCGGCGUGUUUGCUCCAUCCCUUUCCAUAGCAGGGACACGGACGGUGCCAGCUGCCCCACUGUAUUUGUGGGGCCCAUCUGCUGGAGCCCCAGCCAGAUGGUGAGGGUCAAAGGUAGGCUGGCCUCGAACCCGGCUCCCCCAGCAGCCCGGAUGUGUUGCAAUAACAGAGAGAAGAAUUCAAAGGGUCAAAUUCCUCCGGAGUGUAACGUCACUGAAUGUGAGCAGCUCAGACGUCCAGCGAUGCGCUCAGGCAGUCCGGUACCUUAACAGGGACACGUUUAAGGGGAUCAAUGUGUGACUGGUUUCCAGCAGAGUUUUCCUUCGCAGAGUUUUCUCCAGAUAUGUACGUCCAUGUUCUGAAACUCAGCCAACAUCCUGCUACCAAAACAAACCCCACAACUGCGCCGUGCCUGGAACCACUACGACUAAGAGCUGCCAUAUAAGAAGGAAGUCAGAACACAGCGGGUUGGUGUCAGACACUCAUCUGUCUGAAGAAAGCCCCUUUCUUUUAAGGGACCUUGCUUGUUGCGGGCUGAUGCCCAGAUACUGUGGAGAAUCCACUCCCCCCCAGAGUUCAAAAUACAGCCAGAUGAGAAACUAAAGAGCCUUUUUGCAAGGAAAUUGAGCUUUAUUUAAGCAUCAUAGCCUAUGAGUGCGU
rnacentral:lncRNA from 1 species